AUCUACUACUGCUACUAUAACCAUGUCUGGAGUCAAGGGACAUCAGAAGCAAUGCAAGGAUCCAUGUGACCCCUGCCCAGAUCCAUGCCCACCCCCACAGAAAUGCCCAGACCCUUGCAAACCAGACCCAUGCUAUAAACCAACUCCCCAGUGCCAAGAUCCAUGCAAGCCAUCACCUCAGCAGUGUCAGCAGGAUAAGAAUAAAUAUUGAGGGAGUUGUGAAUAUAACAGAAGCUGUCUCUCUCAGUAAUCUCAGGACAACCAUUAACAUCUUAAUCUAAAAUACCUCUUAACCUAUUAUUUAACCAUAUUAAUUGGUCAUCUCAUAAAAUGUUUAAUGAAAAUAAUAUGA